CCCCGCGAGUGUAAACCACUCAUCCUGCACGUAGAGCGGUGUAUAGGGCUGGCGGGGGGCAGGGUAUCCCUAUAGGGACACGUAGCUGAGCCUUUAUAGAGCUCCAUACACACGAGGAUUGGGACGGUAUUCACACCUGCAUCUGAGAGGAGCUUAUGCGGCAUUUCCAUGGGGUACGGGUGGUGCUGCAGUGGGCAUAUCCUGGAGGAGCCAACAUUGGCAUCACUGUCCUAGGUACUACAUACUUUAUAAUAGCUGGCAUGGCACAAGCCAUGAGUGGCACCAUGUUCUAAAUUGGUUCUAUCCACCCCAUUGCCCAAAUUGAUUCUUGCCAAGUGAUGCCACUCAAGCACAGCCCCCCAAUGGACUUGGAGAAGCUGGCACUGGAGCACAUCGCCCCCCGCCUGCUCUCCUAUGGUCACUGUUAUCUGGAUCACUUCCUGGGCGAAGAACUGGGCGACCAAGUGUUGGGGCAGGUGAGGCGUCUGCACCAGGAUGGAGCCCUCAAGGAUGGCCAGCUGGCGGGGCAUCUCCAGGGGGUCUCCAAGAGGCAUCUGCGGGGGGACAAGAUAGCCUGGAUCGCCGGCUCGGAGGAAGGAUGCGAGGCCAUUGGACUGGUGCUGUCCGUCAUCGACCGCCUGGUGGUGUUGUGUGGCAACCAUUUGGGCCAGUACUAUGUGAAGGAGAGGUCCAAGGCAAUGGUGGCUUGUUACCCUGGGAAUGGAGCUGGUUACGUGCGGCACGUGGAUAACCCGACAGGAGACGGGCGCUGCAUUACCUGCAUCUAUUACCUCAAUAAGAACUGGGACGCCAAGGUCCACGGUGGCGUACUUCGCAUCUUUCCUGAUGGCGGAUCACGUGUCACCGAUGUGGAGCCCCUUUUUGACCGGUUGCUCUUUUUCUGGUCUGACCGCCGCAACCCCCAUGAGGUGCAGCCGUCUUACGCUACCAGAUACGCACUAACAGUCUGGUAUUUCGAUGCCAAAGAAAGAGCGGCAGCCAAGCAGAGGUUCAAGAGAUUAAGCGAGUCUAGGCCGGAUCCUACCUCGGAGGACAGCUGAUGAGCACUUCAGGAAACACGGCUAUUUCCAUCUUCCCGAAACACCUAAAGACUGUGGAAAGAAGGGAAGAUGUUGUAACAAUGAACGUGUGUCUUCAGCUUUAAGGCGAGGACCAUCCUAUCACAUGGAGGAUGCCGUCACAGAGACUACGACACCUGGUCGGCACACGAACAACGUAUUGAGCUCAGAUGAGGCACGUUGAGUUAAAACUGAGUUAGUCUUCAAAACACAAUAAAACGUACCCACAAUUUCCCUUUUUUUUUUAACGUUUUAAUAUAUAUACUUUUAAACGUUUAAGUUGGUAACACUGCUGGGUUUACAGGUACAAUUUUUAUUCUAUUUCCUAUUAACCCUCCCUUUUUUCAAUUGAGUAAUAAACCAAAGUGGCACCAACCUCAUAAAGUUUUCAUAUUAAUUUACAAGAAAUAGUUAAAAACACACAGACACAGUCGUCACAAAUAAAAAAAAAAUGACCUUUUUUUGUCAUUUUUGAAAUUUGUCAGACAAUUUAUUUUGAAAGCAGCUGUUAAACUUGCUCAAUUGAAAUAACCAGAAAUAACCUUCAAUAGUUUAUUAUUAUUAAUAUUAUUAUUAUCUUUUUUUAAUCUUCGACACAACACAAACACUUAUUAAAAAAUAUAUAUAUAAAAAAAAAAGAAAACGGAAGAAGAACAAACAAAAAACAAGAAUGGAAGACAAAGGAUAAGAACAAAAAAACUUUGACGUGAGAUUUCAGUGUUUUGCAACCACCAAGAAUGUGCAGGGAGUCAUCGUAUUGACUCAUUUCCAUUUCUAGGAGUGUUUUCUGGUUCGGGAUCUAUGGCUGGAUCUUCUGGAAGAGAAAGGGGGUCAAGGACACGAGAUCAUGCUAACCCCUUCCCUGCAAGAAGAGACAAAAGGCCAUGACAGAGGAGGCUUGAAAGGUGUUGUUCGUAUUAAUCUUUUUUUUUUAAAAUUUUCCUCUCUCGACAUGUAGGAUGCAUACUUCUAAUGUGACUAUCUGAAAGCAGCAAUAGAUAAGAGAGAAAUGAGAUUAUCGAGCUCAUGUAUUGCUGGGUUGCAAUAAGGUACCCCCCCCCCCCCCCCCCAUUAUGACUUAGGUUAACCCUACAGCUUAAUGGAAGGCAACAAUGUAGGAAAUCAGGCAAUGGUUUGGAAGCCUUACGAUGUGAUGACUUUGGUUACCCUACAGCUUAAUGCGUUUUCCAACCAGGGUCUGAUGCCAUAUGUAAGUUUGACCCCGAUAUUGUAUGUAAAGAGCGCAAUCCUGAUACUGUAAGUAAUGAGCAUGAUUCCGAUACUGUAUGUAAUGAGCAUGGUCCUGAUACUGUAAGUAAUGAGUAUAAUUCUGAUACUGAAUGUAAUGAGCGUGGUCCUGAUACUGUGUUUAAUGAGCAUAUUUCUGAUACCAUAUGUAAAGAGCAUGGUCCUGAUACUGUAUGUAAUGAGCAUGGUUCUGAUACUGUGCGUAAUGAAGAAACACACUGGUAAAAAGAAUGGUGCAGCUCACAAUUAUUCACUAGCCGAGGUAAAUGGGCAAACACCCUACCCAAGGUGUGCUAUAAUAUGUAUCGAAAAAAGAGAGAGAUAUCCCAACCUCAAGGAUAGUGAGAAAUAGUAUAAUACUUAAUAAUGUUUGACUAAGACCGUGCUUCAAAUAACAAUG